UAUUAGCAGUGACAAAGAUUCUUGAGACAUAAUGUAACCCCCUCUUCAUAUCCAUUGUAGGAAAUUCAGAGAGAGCAACAUAAAACGAAAUAUUAAUUCAAACUUUUAACAGUCAAAACAUGGCACAACUGAAGAUUGUUGGGGGGUAAUGGGGGGUGUAGGGACAGGGGAAAAGGAAAAACAAGAGUUUUUCAUGUUCUGAUGCGAUUCCGUUUAAUAUAUCGCUUGACACAGGCACCCUGAACUUGAAAAGUUUGCAAUAUUAACUUUGCAUAUAAUUGAGCGUAUGAAUGAAGACAAAUACACAUGCUUGCACACGAACACACACACAUAUGCAUCCACACGCAAAAAAAAAAACAGUCGAGUUGUCAGGACAGGACAAGAAUCAUUCAUACAUCAAGAAAACACGUGAAAUUUGAAUAUGCAUGUUCUUGGUACAGAUUUCGCAAACACACCAUUUAAGUAUCUCUGUACCUCUCUCCAUCCGUGCGUGCUCUCAUUGCUCUAAACACUAAGGGGAGCGAUUUAUGGAAAUAAUUUAUAUUGCAAUUAUAUCAUUUGUGGGGUAGUAAGUGCUUAUUUAAAUUGAGGAAAUUAAGCUAAUGUGCAACCCCCCAAAAUAUAAACUCCGUUCUGUUUGCAUUCUGUGCAUAGAACCUCUAUAUGUGCAUUUGACCCCUGGAGUUGAGUUUUUUGACACAAAGGCCAGGUUCAGUUCAUUCUGCUGACAGCGUUUACAAAGACGUAACUGAGUUAAGGAGACAGCUCACCCAAAAUCUGAAUUCUGCCAAUAUUUACUCACCCUCACGUUAUUCCUAACCGGUUUAAACGGUUUUCGUCAGUGAAAGUCAGUGGGGUCCGAAACAGACCAGACAUUCACUAUACGUUGGGACAGGGUCAGAAAGUCUUUGGAAUGACAUGAGGUUCAGUGAAUGAUGACAGGAUCUUAAUUUUUACGUGAACGAUCCCUUUAAGGGGAAAUAGGGAUACAGGGACAAUGCAUGUUUACAGAUUUCAUAAUUAACUUAAUGUAAUAACAGAUGGUUAUAAAUUAUGCCUACAUCAGUAACUCCUUAAGCAAAUCCCUUGGAUAUAAAAAAAAAUGCUCUAUGUGAGUUGUUCAAAGACAAAAUGUAGAUAACUACAAUAAAACUCAAGUGAUGCAAUGAAGAGAUGUGCAUCUAAAAAGCCAAGGAACGAGCUAAUUAUCGCAGGAUUUCUCUACAUUGCACAAAGCUUUUAAGUGGAAUCUAAACGGAAUUAGAAAAGAUGAAGCAGAAUUUAACGACCUUCCAUCUGUUUCAUCGACAGCUGCAAUAUCUUUUGAACCAAGACAUCGAAUACAGACGUCGGAUACCUCAAGAACAGAAACAGAUUAAGAACUAUCCUGAAACAUCCCACGUUUUCUGAAGACAGACCACACUGGAAACCAUUACAUGCUGCAUUUAAAACAUGAAAUGGAAAAAAAAAAAAAACAACUCUUGCUAAGGAAAGACAUACAGAUACGUAGUGUGGUUAACGUCUUCCAUGUGUACUUAAAUCUUUUCACCUGGCAGUGUUUCAUGGUCAUGUACAGAAAACAUUGAUGCCAAAUGAUACCUGUAAAGACGCAAGCAUUGGCUUUCAGUCAAAAAUUAAAUCCCUCAAAAGGUUAAAAUUUAAAAAACAGCUCGUACAAACAUGGGACGUUCUUUUCAUAUUUGGCAAUAACACUGUUGGUGCAUUUUUUUGUUAGAUAGAAGAACACUGCCCUAAUUCUACCUGAGUGUCUUUUUUCUUUUCUUUCCUUUUUCACUUUUUUUUUUCUUUUCUUUUUUUUUUUAUAUUUAUUUUCUUUUGAGAUUGCGGACCGACAGUCCUUAGGUAGAGGUUAAAGUUAGUAGCCUAUGAUUAAUUACUAGAAUUUCAAAUAUGUACUGAUAUGUCAAUGUUUAAGGAAAUACAAUUCAAGAACAUAAUACAUAAAGUGCUACUGAUUCUUAUGUAUAAAUCAAUUAAUCUGUGAAAUGAUAAAACAGAGGAUAGACUGUAAGUUAAGAAUGCAUUUUCUGACAUUAGAAAGAGAAACAUGUACACAACGGCAGAAUUCCUGUUAACGGCGGUUCUAUUGAUGAGGCUCAUAUGUGCUUUAGCAAGCGCUUAACCGAUAAGCAUGGAAACCCAGGUACAAAUUAAAACAUACAAGAAAUAAAAAGCAUAAAAGUGUGAUUGUGGUGCU